rnacentral:lncRNA from 1 species
CAUUGCGAAUUCAAUGUAAUCCUAAGGUAUAGAACCGCCAUAACAGUAAAUGGUGAUGUAGUUUAUGGAUAACAGGAAAUAAGAAUAGAGAGAUUACUCAAUCGGCGAAUUUGAAUGUAAUACAUUAUAGUGGUUUUAGUCAAAUCAAUUUCUUUUAAUUUAUCAGUUUCUGCAGCAAAAGUGUAACUCUCAUUUUUUUCUAUUCAUUCAAUGCAAAUGAAUUUAAAAAAAGUUGAAAGUGAAAAUGUUUCUUUAUAGGAAGAGAUGGGAGAAAUAAUACCUGGUUGACCAGAAAUCCACGAUGGUACCAUGAGGCCAGUAGUUCAGGCAUACACAUACGGAUAUGGUUUUAUUGCAAUUUGGGCAUUCAAUCUCUCCUUUACAACUUAAAUCCUUGUCAUGUUUUGGCUUACCUAUGGAGCUUGUUUGUUUUAAUGGACAUUGAACUUUUGUAUACGUUUUUAGAUUAUAAGUACUUGAGCUUUCAGUAGUUUCGAAGAGACUGU